rnacentral:lncRNA from 1 species
UUGCUGCCAGGCAGAGGUGUGUUAUGUGUGGAUAUUAUUUUGCCUUCUUCUCCCUUCAAUUUCAGACCGAAACCAACCACUUCAUCCCCUCAGCUAGAGGGCUGCUCUUCUCCACGUGCAUACCGUGACUUAAUUUGGGACUUUUCCUUAGGGAUUUUAACAGCUAAUGUUUCUCGAAUACUCAGAUGCCAGUCACUCUUCAGGUGCUUCGUGAGAACUUCCACAGCAUCUCUGUGUGGAAUACCAGCUGUGUCUACAAUUGUUGUGGACACGUUGUGUUACAGAUGCUUUCCAAACGGUAAGGGUCUUCCUUUUGGACCUUUGACCUGUUCCUGACUACCCACCAUUUCUCUGUGUGUGUGACACUUGUGAGGGAAUAGUUAUUUUAGAUAUUAACCAAGG